rnacentral:rRNA from 1 species
GACGAACGCUGGCGGCGUGCUUAACACAUGCAAGUCGAACGGAAAGGCCCGGCGUUUGCUGGGUGGUCGUUAGGCGCUGGGGGGAGUAUCACGAGAGUAUCCCGCCCUUCUCUGAGGGGUAACUUUUGGAAACGGGGGCGAAUACCGGAGAGAAGCUCCUGCUCCCUGGUGGGCGAUGGAAAGUUUCGGCGUUGGUGGAUGGGCUCGCGGCUUAUCAGCUUCUUUGUGAGGUAGUUGCUUACCAGGGCUUGGACGGGUAGCCUGCCUGUGAGAGUGACCGGCCACAAUGGGACUGAGAUACGGCCCAGACUCCUACGGGAGGCAGCAGUGGGGAGUAUGGCACAAUGGGCGGAAGCCUGAGGCAGCAACGCCGCGUGCGGGAUGACGGCCUUCGGGUGGAGAACCGCUUUCGCCUGUGACGAAGCGUGAGUGACGGUAAUGGGUAAAGAAGCAACGGCUAACUACGUG